rnacentral:tRNA from 2 species
CUCCCGCGCCGGGAGUCGAACCCGGGCCGCCUGGGUGAAAGCCAGGAAUCCUAACCGCUAGACCACGCGGGA